ACGGGAGGCAGCAGUGGGGAAUAUUGGUCAAUGGGCGGAAGCCUGAACCAGCCAAGUAGCGUGAAGGAUGACGGCCCUACGGGUUGUAAACUUCUUUUGCCGGGGGAUAAAAAACGGGACGCGUCCCGUCUUGCAGGUACCCGUGCGAAUAAGGACCGGCUAAUUCCGUGCCAGCAGCCGCGGUAAUACGGAAGGUCCGAGCGUUAUCCGGAUUUAUUGGGUUUAAAGGGAGCGUAGGCGGAAGGUCAAGUCAGCUGUGAAAUGUAGUCGCUCAACGUCUGCACUGCAGUUGAAACUGGCCUCCUUGAGUGCGUAAGAGGCGGGCGGAAUUCGUCGUGUAGCGGUGAAAUGCUUAGAUAUGACGAAGAACUCCGAUUGCGAAGGCAGCUCGCUGGGCCGCAACUGACGCUGAAGCUCGAAGGUGCGGGUAUCAAACAGGAUUAGAUACCCUGGUA
rnacentral:rRNA from 1 species